CAUGCAGUCGAGCGGAACGAGUUAACUGAACCUUCGGGGGACGUUAACGGCGUCGAGCGGCGGACGGGUGAGUAAUGCCUAGGAAAUUGCCCUGAUGUGGGGGAUAACCAUUGGAAACGAUGGCUAAUACCGCAUAAUCUCUUCGGAGCAAAGAGGGGGACCUUCGGGCCUCUCGCGUCAGGAUAUGCCUAGGUGGGAUUAGCUAGUUGGUGAGGUAAUGGCUCACCAAGGCGACGAUCCCUAGCUGGUCUGAGAGGAUGAUCAGCCACACUGGAACUGAGACACGGUCCAGACUCCUACGGGAGGCAGCAGUGGGGAAUAUUGCACAAUGGGCGCAAGCCUGAUGCAGCCAUGCCGCGUGUAUGAAGAAGGCCUUCGGGUUGUAAAGUACUUUCAGCAGUGAGGAAGGUUCAUGCGUUAAUAGCGUAUGGAUUUGACGUUAGCUGCAGAAGAAGCACCGGCUAACUCCGUGCCAGAGCCCGCGGUA
rnacentral:rRNA from 1 species